UUAAAGAAAUGGAGGGCCAAAACUAAAGAAGAAAGGGAUCUACUUGAGGCUGAAGAAGAGAAGAAGGAGGGAAAAAGUGCAAAAUGGCAGAUCAGGGAGGGGAUCAAAAUCCCUAGCAGCCUCCAUUUCCAAAGUGAGCCUGGCACACAUCUCUCUCCCUCAUCCCUCCUUCUCCACCUCCGGCCAUCACCGCAGCCAGGCCGGCGUGGCGGUGCGCCACCAGCUCCACCACUCCACCACAACCAGCAUCACCACCCAUCCAUCCAUCGCGCGCCCAACGCCCGUGCUGCCCUCUUCCCCCAUGUCCCUGCUGCCCUUCUACUCCUCCUCUUGCUGUUGUCUUCUUCCCUGAACUCCUAACCCUGCUAUUGCUCUUCUCCUUCUUCUUCUCUCAACGCUCCUGCUGCUCCUUCUCCUUGCAUCCCCUUGCUGCUGUUGCCUCAACCUGCUGCUUCUCUCUCCCUGACGCCCCUGCUGCUGCUACUACUCUAAUCUCCAACCUGCUGCUGCUCUUCGCCGGCGCCCCUUGCUGCUCCUCACUCGCUGAAGCGCUGCUCUGAACCCCUCUUGCUGCCGUAUUCUUCUAGGACCCCAACUGUUGUUGUUCCCCUUUUCUCUCUUUACUUCUCACGAAUUUCUAAAAUCAGUAUGAUGAAUAUGGUGUACUGUUCUGCACACAUUAUUGGUGCCUUCAUGUGUUUUAUGGUCUGCUACAAUUUCAAUGUACUUGUGUAAAACUAUACAAUAUUUGGUUUCUAGUGUCUGAAUCCUUGUGUCUAUUAUUGUUGUACUAAUAUUUGUCAGCGUGAAUUGGCUAGUGUGAUGUGAGCCCUAUACUUGUGCUUUAUAUUCCUGUUGGUGUCUAGUGUUCAGUUUGUGGUAUCCGUGUUAGCUUUGUACCUGUGAUAUAAAUAUAUAUGUUCGUGUUUUGAUAUAUUUUUGUCCCUGUCAUAUUAUUGUUUCUUCCCUCUGUUAUAUGUAUGAUAGUUAUAUAUGUGUCCUUGUCAUGUUACUUCCCUCUUGUUUUAGUCUAUGCUGUCAGUAGUAAUCUGAAAUACCAAUAAGAAAGCAAGUUCAAAUCUUUAUAUCCCUCUGCUUCUUUUUUCAUUUUGUUUGUCGUCAACCUUGUUUAGUUUAGGUUUUAUUUUCUGCAUCCGUCUCUUAAAAUUGUGUUACCUAGAUUUAGCCGAGCAUAGUCGUCGUCGCCUUGUCCCUGUGGGGAACACGACACUCGCAGUUCGGGCAAAAUAUCCCGAUGUACCUUCAAUUGAUCAUUUUGGCACUGUUUCCGGGGACUAGCGUCGAGCGAUUGUGUUAGGCUAUAGACUAGGUUUUUCUUCUUUUUCUAGUUUGUGCCAUAUAUUUGUGAUAUAUCUCUAACCACUAACCCUUGUUCUAGCUAGUAUCUUUUUGUUUUCUUUUCCUUUUGCAGGUUAGAGCUAUCUGCUCGGUUAUGGCAUAUUAUUUAGAUUGUCUCGGAGAUGCGAGGAACACUAUAAACAGCAUGUAAACUAUUCAAGAACUGAUAAGGACAUUCACCCACUAAAUGUCAGCGUGGUUACUCUCACUCUCCCGAUUGUUAUGGCAUGAGCUUCGCCCCACAGCCUAGCUCAUACCAAAACAAUUACUCAUAUGGGUGGCCUGAGAACCAGAAUAUGUCAUAUAGGAGCAACAACCCUGAGAUCUCACUGUUUGCUUCUAGUAAUCAUAUGCAGGGAUUUAGGUACAAUGAGGAGAGCCACAACUAUGCUCCACAAUAGAUUUAUUCAGCUCCUACUCAUAUACCUCAACACCAGGAGAUGUUUCCAAUGGAGUUAAAUGGUACUCCAUUUGGUCAACCAACAACUCCAGCAACCGUCGAGCAAUCUCAUGUGCAAGUGCCCACACAAGAUGAAUUUGAUGAUACAGACAAGCUCACAUUGCUUAGUCUCGAGUUCAUUUGGAGUGCCGAGGAUGAUCCUAUUAGGAAGGUUAUACUAGAGGAAAUGAAGAAGAUCAAGAGUGGAAAAGAGCUAGUUGAAGAAGUAAGGAAGAUUGAGAAGAACAUCAACGCUGGCAGCACUAUUUCUUCAUAGCUUGAGCUGAGUGUUUCUGGGAUUACCCUUGAUACAUCUGAGGUUCCAACACCUUCAUAUCCAGCCAAGGAAGAUAGUAAGUGCCUUGAGGAAGAGAUAUCUCAGAUUGAAGAAGAUGAACUAGAAGACAAGGAACAAGAUGACCAAGAGCUUGAAUGCCCAAGUGAUCAAGACGAAGAUCCAUUGCCUAUCACUCCUGAAGAAGUAAAAGAAGCUCCUGUAGUUGAAGAUGAAGAACUAGAAAUUCAUUUGCCCAUCGUCAUCCAAGAGCGUGAUAUAGCAGGUUUAUCUAAUCCUCUCAAUGACAUGCGUCCAUAUGAAUUGUUUCCUACUACCUUGCAUUGCAUGAUGUUAUCUGUUAAAGUAGAUUUGAAGAAGUGUUUGCUUGGAUAUGAUGAUACAUAUACUGUUGGUGGCAUUGCUCAUAUUAAUGAUGAUCACACUUAUUUUCCUCAUGCCAAACCUAUGCUUAAUGAUAAAUAUCAUCCUCAUGUUAGUAUUGAGCUUGCUGAUUCCUAUCAUACUCGCCAUGUUCUUUAUAGCUAUGCAUAUGUAAUUGGGUACUCUAUUGAUGAUUUAGAGGGCAUUACCCCUUUCACUUGUAUCUCUUUUGUCGAGUGCUCUUUCAGGUUUUCGCUACUGCACCGUUCACUACAUGCUGACCAGGUUCGAGGUGACAUUCCUUGGGACCGCGGUGGAUUUAGAGCAUGGUGAAGAGGAGAAGCAAUGGGCACAUACAAGGAAGAGAAAAGCUGGAGCGUGCACGAGGAUAGAGAGCAUGAGGAUAGAGAAGCAAAAGGAGAGGAGUCGCGAUGCAAGAAGAUGUGAGAUCAUCGAGCGAGUUCUACUUCAUAAAGCCUGGUGAGCUAUUUCAUGACCCCAAUAUGAAUAUAUCAUCUAUUGAUACAAGCUGAAAUCAAUUGCUAGUUGGGUUGCUUGAGCCAGUUAUUACUUAUUGUCAAGCUGAAAUUCACCUUUGGUAUGGUGCUUGUUGUGAAUAUGUGAACUGAAUUGUGAAUGCCUUGUAAACUAGUGAUCUACAUACUGCUUGCUUUGCUGAAAUUAGUGAAAGUUAUUAGUUUUGAGUGCUCAAAUCCCUAGUACACUAGAAAACUACCAUCAUUUUCUGCAUUUACUUUGAUACACCUAGAUCAUCAAGUGUUAGAUGCUGAUUUUGUGCCAAGUGUCUUCCCAUCCAGACCAAUCACUUAACCACUAUGGAUUAGCAUGCUAUAUUCUCUGGAUCAGUAGCAUGUGAACCAGAAAUGGAUGAGUGAUGAUUCUUGUUUCCUUCCUUAUGUUUCAUGCCAUUGUAAUUCCUUUGUUCAAUAUGUCAUAAUGAAUAUAAGUCUAGUCUACCUGCAGUAGCAUGUCAUGUUCCCUGAAUCGGUGGCGUGUUAAAUUUGGUAGCUUGGACAGCAAUAAAUAAAUAAAAAUGCAAUAUUUGUCGAACCAUGUGUAUACCAUGUUCUCGGGAUCGGUGGUAUGUUCCUUUGAUGAGACUGAUAAAAUAUUAUCAUUGCUUCCUUCAAAAUUCAAUAAGUAGUUUAGCCAUAAUGUUGUGUUCCUGGUAACAAGUAUUUCUGGGGAUCAUGCUCUCUUUAGGAACCUUUUGGCACAAUCUGCAUUUAAACUUGUUGAUCCACUUUAUCAUUGUAAAAGUUUAAAAUGAUCGAGUCUACUAGUAUCCUAUUGCUUUGUAGCAUCCUAACCAUUAAUCUUCACUAACUAAGUCUGAAGCAUGCAUUGUUUGGAGAUCUACUUUACUAGGACCUUCUCUAGUCAGUUCACUAUUCAUACUCUUGCUCUUGUGAUAUGCCUUUGCUUGAGGACAAGAAAGAUUUAAGUGUGGGGGAACUUGCUAUAGAAUUUCCUCAUAUAAUCUUUUUAGCCUUUUUGCAUCAAAUUGUAAUCAUAUUUUCAUAUUAUUUACUCGAAAGAUAUUCAAAUACGCAUAUUAUGUCACAUUUACAACACUACUCCAUCUUUUGCAGAAAAUGGCGAAAAGGCCCAAAUCCUUCUAUAUUACAGUGUCUAAGAGGUUGUGGUUGCUGCAUUUUGCGAAGGGACUCGAGUAUGAAGAAUUAAUGAAACGAAGGGCCAACACUAAAGAAGAAAGGGAUCUACUUGAGGCUGAAGAAGAGAAGAAGGAGGGCAAAAGUGCAAAAUGGCAGAUCAGGGAGGGGAUCAAAAUCCCUAGCAGCCUCCAUUUCGAAACCGAGCCUGGCACACAUCUCUCUCCCUCAUCCCUCCUUCUCCACCUCCGGCCGCCGCCGCGGCCAGGCCGGCGUGGCGACAUGUCACCAGCUCCACCACUCCACCACAACCAGCAUCACCACCCAUCCAUCCAUCCGCACCACAUCCACCUCACGCAACUCACCAGACAGAGGGCCGGCGGUGCCUGAUCCAUCACGCGCCCAACGCCUGUGUUGCCCUCUUCCCCCAUCUCCCUGAUGCCCUUCUACUCCUCCUCUUGCUGUUGUCUUCUUCCCUGAACUCCUAACCCUGCUAUUGCUCUUCUUCUUUUUCUUCUCUCAACGCUCCUGCUGCUCCUUCUCCUUGCAUCCCCUUGCUUUUGUUGCCUCAACCUGCUGCUUCUCUCUCCCUGACGCCCCUGCUGCUGCUAAUACUCUAAUCUCCAACCUGCUGCUGCUCUUCGCCAGUGCCCCCUUGCUGCUCCUCACUCGCUGAAGCUCUGCUCUGAACCCCUCUUGCUGCCGUAUUCUUCUAGGACCCCAACUGUUGUUGUUCCCCUUUUCUCUCUUUACUUCUCACGAAUUUCUAAAAUCAUUAUGAUGAAUAUGGUGUACUGUUCUGCACACAUUAUUGGUGCCUUCGUGUGUUUUAUGGUCUGCUAUAAUUUCAAUGUACUUGUGGAAAACUAUACAAUAUUUGGUUUCUAGUGUCUGAAUCCUUGUGUCUAUUAUUGUUGUACUAA